AUACCAGUUGUCAGAGGGAAAUAGUCAGUAUAGAUACGUGUUGAAUCGUAAGUCUUAUUGGUAAAAUAUAACUUAAACUUAACUUUUAGCAGUUGUAAUUUGAUUAGAUAUGAAACACAUAUUCUUAACAAAAUAUAAAUCACUUUUUAAAUAAACAUGACAAUGUAUAUGUAUUUGUUCAAUGUACUAUAAAAAUAAAACAAGCGGAAAAUGGUAAUAUCGCUCACUUUCAGGUAGGCACCUUAAGUAUGGAUAGUCUAAUAAAUUCAAGUAUCUCAGAUUAUCAUCCCUUGAUAUUAAAUAUCCUAUUGAAUCAGCAAAAAUUAAUGGAAAAUGUGACCCACUUAUCCACUAUGGUUGCUGAUUUUUCAGACCAAAUAAUCAUGGAAAAGCAUAGAAUUGCAGAAACAAACGAUCAAGAUUCAGCUUAUAUAGAAUCAUCAAAAUUGAAUGACUUAAGUACAUUUAUGACUGAUAAGUUUCAAACAUUCGAUAGAGCAUUAAAUGCUUUACGAAAUGAAUUCGAACAUUUUAAGGAAGAUUUUAAUAGUAAAAAUAGUGAAAAAAAUAAUUAUUCAUUAGAAUCUAGAAAAUUUGAAGAGGCGGUUAUUGAUUUUGAUAAGGAAAUAGAUUCAAAAACAUCAGAAAUAAUAGAUUUGAAUGAAAAAAUUAGGGUCCUUUUAAAAAAUCAAGAAGAAAAUAAGAAGGAAUACGAAAAUUUAAAGGCUGAUAAUAUUGCAAAAGAGCAAUUAUUAGUAAAAUUACAAGAACAGAAUUGUAAAUUAUGUGAAAAUACUACUUAUUUAGAGAAUGAAAUUACUAUUUUAACCAAGAAAUUGAAACAUGGUGAAAUAAAACUAAAAGCAAAAAUAAAAAGAAUUUCUUUAAUGAAUGAAAAAUUACAACAACACGAAAAUAGAAUAAAAAAUGAUAUUUAUAUUAACAGAUCACAUCAAAAUGGUCAAAUUCAAAUGAUUUAAUAAAAAGAACGAUAUACUAAUAUCAUUAUUUGCAAAAAUCAAUUUGAAAGAAAAUGGUCACUUUUUAUUCUUUACUAUUAUUACUCUUUAUUUAAAGAAUUAAAGUAAUGACUUUAAUGCCAUAUUUGUUAUAUUUGUCCUAGUGAGUUGAAAUAUUUAAUAAAGCACAAACGUAGACAAAGAUUUUAUAUAGACAAUUUAAAAAUUGUUAAUUUGUUUGUAGAACUUGCAUAUAGACUGUAGACUAUAAAUUUC
rnacentral:misc_RNA from 1 species